UGAAGAAGGCCUUCGGGUUGUAAAGUACUUUCAGCAGUGAGGAAGGGUGUGAAGUUAAUAGCUUCAUACUUUGACGUUAGCUGCAGAAGAAGCACCGGCUAACUCCGUGCCAGCAGCCGCGGUAAUACGGAGGGUGCGAGCGUUAAUCGGAAUUACUGGGCGUAAAGCGCAUGCAGGUGGUUUGUUAAGUCAGAUGUGAAAGCCCGGGGCUCAACCUCGGAACCGCAUUUGAAACUGGCAGGCUAGAGUACUGUAGAGGGGGGUAGAAUUUCAGGUGUAGCGGUGAAAUGCGUAGAGAUCUGAAGGAAUACCAGUGGCGAAGGCGGCCCCCUGGACAGAUACUGACACUCAGAUGCGAAAGCGUGGGGAGCAAACAGGAUUAGAUACCCUGGUAGUCCACGCCGUAAACGAUGUCUACUUGGAGGUUGUGGCCUUGAGCCGUGGCUUUCGGAGCUAACGCGUUA
rnacentral:rRNA from 1 species